rnacentral:lncRNA from 1 species
ACCUACACAUUUGUGUAUCAGUCUGAUUGAUGGAUUGUGUUGUGCACUAAGCAGGCUCAGUUGUAUUACUGUGGCUCCUUCCACCUUCAAGGAAUAGGCAAGAAGACCAACCAUGGAGAAUAGUUAUAUCAACUGUGUCUGUGAACCCCUCUCUCAUCUGAACUGGCUACAUAGAGGGCACAUCAUGAUCAGAGGUAUAUUUUGAUGUGAGAGAGGAUGCCAACCCCCAGUCUCGUCAUCACCACCUCACCCGCUCUUAAGAUAACCUUCGGACCAACUGGGUGCACAAGCCUGGUUAGGAGACACAGCUAGAGACACUAUUAUGUAAUUGUGAUGAACGGCGACAAUAUUAAGUUUAGUAGCACUGUAAUUCAUUAAUCAUAUGCUGUCUUCCCUGCUCCUCUGUUCUUACCUCUUUCCCUUUGUCUUUUACACUCCCUCAUACCUCUCUCCCCACCUCCUUUCUUCCUCUGUUUUUAUAAUGCAC